rnacentral:tRNA from 1 species
GGCCCGUUGGUCUAGGGGUAUGGUUCUCGCUUUGGGUGCGAGAGGUCCCGGGUUCAAAUCCCGGACGGGCCC